rnacentral:lncRNA from 1 species
CUAAGACUGUUCCUGUGACCGGAAGGUGCUGAAAGAAACACAUUUCGAGUAGUAAAAACAAGUGUCCAGGAAGGAGCUUUCAUCAGCUUAUAACAAACGAGGGACUCAUGUUUCUCCACCUGGAUCUGGAAUGGACUGGAGAGAAACAGCAGGGAGCUGUGAGCAGCUGGCGGCAGGAGCCACCCUGCUCUUAGCAGCACUAGUUGGCUGCUGAGUGGCCCCUAUUUGACUCUUUUGUUGUUGCUCCCUAUAUGACCCUUCCUCCUCUCCCCCAUCUCCUUCCCUUCCCUUCCUUUCCCUUCCCUUCCCUUCCCUUCCCUUCCCUUCCCUUCCCUUCCCCCUCCUUCCCUUCCUUCCUUUUCUUUCUUUUUUCUUUUCAGUUUCUGCUUUUCACACAGGAUCUCACAUAGCCCAGGCUGGCCUUGAAUGUACCACAUAGAGGGGCUGAGUAUUGCACAGCUACCCACAGCAACACUACCUGCUCCAGAGACAAUGAAGCUGAAGAAUGUCUUGCAGAAGGAAAAUGCCUCUCAGCCCUGAAACUAGGAACACUAAAGAGGGUCAAAGCACAAGACAUCCAUCCCUAGCCAGUGUUCCCACCCGUGGAGAAAGUGAGAGUACACUGAGUGAGUAACCAGUCCAUGUUUUCCUUAUCCCACCCAAACGUUUUGGGUCAUGCCUCUAAUGGAUGAAUAGCUGCAAUUGGCUGAAGCAGGAAGAGAGGCACAGGCUCUACCGAGUGCCCUGCAGACUCCACAGGAAGGCCCUGAGAGUAACUCUGUAUGCUUCAAACCGGCCCUGUGGGUAUGAUUCAUGACCUUUAUGCCUCAGCCCUGCCCAUCAGCUGUUUCCCUGAGCACGCAGCUGCAGACAUCAAUAUCAGUGUAAACACAAGUGCGCACAGCUGACUUUACUUGAGUAUUUCAGGGCACCUGCCUUGGGAAAACAAGUGGGAGGCUCCCAGCACGCAGCCAGACUUUGUAAAAUGGAGAGAACAUAGGGUUUUAGGAACUAGCCCCGAGGGAGACAAGAGGUGUGGAGCAGGCUCAUCCAGAAGGAAGCUUGAGAAAAAGAUCCCUAGAGUCUUCCACUGGGCUGUUUAGUGAACACUGUUUCUUCUGAAGACAGUAAAAGCUGGACAAGGUGACCUCUUCUUCAGUCACAAAUGCAGUGAGAAAAGACUUUCCAAGGAGAAAAGCAAGAAUACAAACUGCUAUUACUAAAGAACCAAUGUAAUAUUCCAGUAACCAGUCAUAAGGAAUUGUGUAUCUAUGGCUUGCCGAACAAAGAAUUAAAAAAAAAAUGAUGAUGUUUAAGGGUAACCAAUGCUACAAGAGCAUACAAACAAGUCAAGGACAUCACAAAAUAAAUUCACAAAAAAAGUUCAAUAAAAAGGUAGAAAUUUCAAA